GGAUAACAUGCCCUUAAGUGGAGGAUAAUCUCGGGAAAUUGAGGAUAAUACUCCAUAGAUCAUGAAAUCUGGAAUGAUUCAUGGUUCAAAGUUCCGGCGCUUAAGGAUUGGUCUGCGGCCUAUCAGGUAGUAGUGGGUGUAACGUACCUACUAGCCUAUGACGGGUAUGGGCCUUAAGAGAGGAAGCCCAGAGUUGGAUUCUGAGACACGAAUCCAGGCCCUACGGGGCGCAGCAGUCGCGAAAACUUCACACUGGGGGCAACCCCGAUGAGGGAAUUCCUAGUGCUAGCGCUUUUUGUGCUAGCUUUUCUUCAGUAUAGAUAGCUGGAGGAAUAAGGGCUGGGUAAGACGGGUGCCAGCCGCCGCGGUAAUACCUGCAGCCCAAGUGGUGGUCGAUUUUAUUGAGUCUAAAACGUUCGUAGCCGGUUUGAUAAAUCCUUGGGUAAAUCGGAGAGCUUAACUUUCCGACUUCCGAGGAGACUGUCAAACUUGGGACCGGGAGAGGCAAGAGGUACUUGAGGGGUAGGGGUAAAAUCCUGUAAUCCUUUAAGGACCACCGGUGGCGAAGGCGUCUUGCUAGAACGGAUCCGACGGUGAGGGACGAAGCCCUGGGUCGCAAACGGGAUUAGAUACCCCGGUAGUCCAGGGUGUAAACGCUGCAGACUUGGUGUUGGAGAUCCUUCGUGGGUAUUCAGUGCCGGAGAGAAGUUGUUAAGUCUGCUACUUGGGGAGUACGUCCGCAAGGAUGAAACUUAA
rnacentral:rRNA from 1 species